AAGAGUUUAUCCUGUUUCGCUUUCAUUGUUUUAUAUUUGAUUCUCUGAUGAGAUUAUGGGGAAUCUAUAAACUCUUGGUCCCUUUUGGUAGAGCAUUCCGUUAGCAUGACACUAGUGCUGCAGAAGAGAAUUUGGUUUUGUAGCCUGUGUGGUUGAUUCACUUACUGUGAGUAGAGGAUGAGAGUUUCCAUUAGUAUUCUUCUUCAGUAUUAAUUUUAGAAAAAACUGAUUAUUUUGCAAAGAAAAAAUGGAGCAGUAACUUGUUAAUCUAGGGGAAGAUUAUACAGGACAGUGGUUAUUAGAAAUAAAUUUCCUUUAACAGCAACAGAAAAAUGUUUACUUUAUGACACUUGUCAUUUCUUGAUGGGGUGUGUGUGUGUGUGUGUGUGUGUGUUUGUGUGUGUGUGUGUUAUGUUGAGCAGCAAGUAGCUUCAUUAUCUUUCACCACUGGAAGCAGUGAAGAAAAAUAAGUGGCUUUCUGAUGAGGGAAUUAUUUUCAAAAUUUCAAGCCCUCUAAAACUAAAAAGAUUAUUUUUAAUGCCAUAUUAAUAUAAUUGCACAUUUUUUUCCUAAUGUUAAAGUGAUUCUGAUUGUCAAAGAGAACUUUCAAAAAGAUACACUAGUUCAGCGAAGCAGACUAAUAUUUUAGAAAGAAUAUUAGUAAUAAAAAGGACAGAAUUAUGAUAGUUUGAUACAUUAAUUUUAAAAACUUUUUUUCCAUCGCUCUCGAGUCAAGAUGAGAAAACUUAAACAGAAAUGUGGUUCUCAUUUUGAUUGUAUUGAAUUUAUUACCGGAAAUGCUAUCCUCCCUUCCGAUGCAGAGGGCUUUAAGUCCUUUUUGUUUAAAAGAGUGUAGGAGAGGUUAAUUUUCUAUAGCAAUGGAAUUAAAAAUUCUCUUCACUGAAUCAUUCCAGGCAGUGUAAUAAAAAAAAUGCAGUAAUUUGAAUAUAGCCAUCAAGGCAGUAGUUAUUUUAGUUAUAAGUGGUCUUCUGCCUUUUUAAGUAGCAGAUUGUCAGAGAUUAUCUAAUUCUGUUUUAUGAAACAGUUGCUCAUAAAAAUGCUUGUUCCUUGUCCUAUAGCUAAGUUCUUUCAUUAACUUUUUUCCUUUAUUACAUAGUACUUUUGUUCCAGUGGUCUGUCACAGAUUUGGGGGGUUCUGCAUUUUAUGAAUGUGUUAUAAACCCAUUCUAAGAAUGUGGUUUACUUUUGCUGCUGUGCCUGCCUAGAAAGUCUUUUCUUGCUUCUCGGCAGACUGUCAGUUAAAUGGUCCGCUUUUUAGAUUUUUAAAUUCUUUGUACCUAUUCCAUGUGCCACUUGGUAUGCCAUUUUGUUUUUACCUUACACUGCCUUUCAAGCCUCCCCAGAGGUGGACUAUCCUUGGAGCCAUCAAAGGGACCCUCAUCGCAUGAACCCCUUGGCAUUUUAUUUACUUAUUUUGUAGCAUGUGGAAGUUCUUGGGCCAGGGAUAGAACCUGCCACAGCAAUGACCCAAGCUGCUGCCGUGACAGCCCUGGAUACCCACUUCUUUUCCUUCUUUUUUCUUUUUUUCUUUUUAUUUUUUUUAGGGCCACACCCUCAGCAUAUGGAAGUUCCCAGGCUAGAGGUUGAAUGGGAGCUGCAGCCGCCAGCCUACACUGAGGCCAGGGAUGGAACCCGUGUCCUCAUGGAUGGUAGUCGGGUUCACUCACCACUGAGCCUCAACAGAACUCCUCUUUCUUUUAUUUUUUUAAAAUUUUUAUUAUUUAUUUAUUUAUUUUGGUCUUUUUGCCAUUUCUUGGGCCGCUCCUGCAGCACAUGGAGGCUCCCAGGCUAGGGGUCGAAAUGGAGCUGUAGCCACCGGCCUACACCACAGCCACAGCAACGCAGAAUCCGAGCCGUGUCUGCAACCUACACCACAGCUCACAACAACGCCGGAUCGUUAACCCACUGAGCAAGGACAGGGAUGGAACCAGCAACCUCAUGGUUCCUAGUGGGAUUCGUUAACCACUGCGCCACAACGGGAACUCCCUUCUUUCUUUUUUUGAAAUUUAUUUUAGUGAAGUGUAGUUGAUCGUAGUCUUAAAGAAGCCCUGCAAUUAUAUGAACUUAGACCCACACAACCUGCCUUUUCUAAAGUUGAAGACCGUUAGAGGAGAUGCAAAACAAACUACGUGUAGAUUGUUAGCUUUGUGUUUUAGGUUAAAAGGAUACAAAUAGAGUAUGUGAAUGGGUCCGUGUGUGAUGUCAGAUUUAGUUUAUCACGAUAACCAUCCGGAGUGCACCAGAUGUUUUGACUGUAUUUAGCUUCAUAUUGAAUUAAGCACAGCCAGUGGCCUCCAAAGUCCAUCUGUACUGCUGCCAAAGGUAGCUCUGAAGACAGCGCCUUUCCCUUCUGCCCACUGCUAGCUGCUCUUUUCCUCUUGCCACGAUGUUGAGGCUUUUGAAUUGCUCUUAGGAAAGGUGAGUCUCUGUAUCUGAAAUUUGCAUUCAGUUUAUCUGCCUUCUUGAAUGAAGGGGCUUGCCCUUUUCAUUUCAAUAGGUCGUCAUUUUCAAUUUUUGCUUAUCCAUAAACCAGUAGAAAUAAAUCAAAUAAAUCAGAUUAGUUAGGAGCUUAUUGAGGCCUAAAGUCUAGUGAGAGAGGGCAGCCGUUUAUACACAAGUAACAGUUAAACACACGUAUGCCUGAGGUUUCUGUAUGCUUGCUGUAUGCUAAUCACGGAAAAAAACAAAUUAUUGCUUUUGUUAUAUAAAUAUGUAUUACGAUCUGAAAACCCUUAGUUUUGUUUACACUCAGAAAGACAAGUAUUAAAAUCACUCAAAACCUUUAUAAGGAUUUAAAUGAGUGUACCUUGACUUUUACGUAAUUUCUGCUUCAUCAGCGUAAUCAAAGGAUGCAUGGAUUCUUUCCCCGCGGGAGGGAAGCCGACAGCUGCAGUGCUCGCUCUCAGUGUGAGGAUCGUGAAGAUGGCAGACCUUGCAGAGCAGACAGUUUCCUCCCAUACCUGCUCCCACCCUUCCUAGAAAAAGCAUUUAGACGCCUCUGAAAUGAGACCCGCAAAGCGUGUGCUAAUGCCAGAACAAAUAUCUUGGAAAUUUUAUCAUAAUGUUGCUUUUUAAGGCCCUAAAUGUCCUCUAUUUAAAAUGAAAUUCUUUUGUAUUAACCUCCUUUCAUAUGCUGGCUUUCACCAGCCUGCAGAAUUGCCUGAUUUGACUUUCUAAUGUAACUGUAAUGAAUCUUCUGGGAAGCCAAACGAUUGAACACGCGUACUCUGCGUCUCCAUUGUAAGAUAGUCAGUCCUGUCGAUGUUGCUG
rnacentral:lncRNA from 1 species